rnacentral:misc_RNA from 1 species
UCUCCGUUGGUGAACCAGCGGAGGGAUCAUUACUGAGUUACAAACUCCAAACCACUGUGAACCUACCACUGUUGCUUCGGCGUGCCGUCCCGGGCGCGGCUCCGGCCGUGACCCGGGCCUAGGCGGCCGCCGGGGACCCAAAACACUGUUCUAAUAGCGAACUAUCUGAGUGGCAUAAGCAAAUAAUCAAAACUUUCAGCAACGGAUCUCUUGGCUCUGGCAUCGAUGAAGAACGCAGC